rnacentral:rRNA from 1 species
ACUCCUACGGGAGGCAGCAGUGGGGAAUAUUGCACAAUGGGGGAAACCCUGAUGCAGCCAUGCCGCGUGUGUGAAGAAGGCCUUCGGGUUGUAAAGCACUUUCAGUAGGGAGGAAGGUAGUGUAGUUAACACCUGCAUUAUUUGACGUUACCUACAGAAGAAGCACCGGCUAACUCCGUGCCAGCAGCCGCGGUAAUACGGAGGGUGCGAGCGUUAAUCGGAAUUACUGGGCGUAAAGCGCAUGCAGGCGGCCUGUUAAGUCAGAUGUGAAAGCCCGGGGCUUAACCUCGGAAUUGCAUUUGAAACUGGCAGGCUAGAGUCUUGUAGAGGGGUUAGAAUUUCAGGUGUAGCGGUGAAAUGCGUAGAGAUCUGAAGGAAUACCAGUGGCGAAGGCGGCCCCCUGGACAAAGACUGACGCUCAGAUGCGAAAGCGU